GCUUUUUCCUCUGAAGUAACAAUUGCUUGGCCUUCAGCAUGUAUUGAGAAGUUCAGUGGAUGACUUGAGAGUUGAAAUUGAUGCUUUGUCUAACCAUGGAGUGAAGAUGGAAAAUAUGUAGGAUUGGUCUGAGAAAUAUCGAAGGGCAGAUUGGAGCAGCCAUGAUUGGUGUUUUUGCAUAGUCACGAUGAUAUUAAGUAUUUCAUGUAUUAUAGGUUAGCUUAGUAUGUUGAGAAAUGUAGUAGUUUUUCUUAAAUAUGCAUCGUCUAUGUGUUCAUUGUUAUGAAUGCUAUGAAGUGACAUGAAACACGUUGGUUUUAUCUCCAUAAUGCAGUUCAUAUGCACGUGUUGCUCAUUGUAUGUA